CUCCUCUGGCCCCCAGAACCUCAAGAAGGACAUCUGGGGCGUGCUGGACCAGAUGGAGAACAUCCAGCUGGGGAUUCUCAGGUGCAGGUGCCAAUCCACCCCGUGGGCCAUGGCAUCCAUGAGAGAGAGAAGCAGAAAGUUGGUCAGCACGGCACCAGCUUCAGGGCCCUAGAGCUCACACCCUUCCCGCAUUGAGAUAGCCCCAGCCCAGGAUGUCUCAGCCCCGAACAGCUGUGCACCCCUCACACUCCCUCAGCGCUGCCCCUGGCAUUUGGCAGGCAGGAGAGUUCUAGCAGGUUCAGCAGCCCCUACAGGGCCCUGAGCCAGCAGGUGGCCCCUAUGCACCCCCAUUUCAUCUCCCCAAGCUCUCGGGUUCCUGGGAUUCCCUGUGGGUAGCGGCAGACCCAAGUCUUUCCCCCAAACACCCUGUCACUGCCAGAACUGAUGCAGACCCAAGGCGAGAGACCCUCACACUUCCCAGCCACAGACCAUCGGCCACCCCCUCCUUCCAAGCCUCUGACUCAGCCCAAGUCCACAGAAAUGCCCCCAAGGAACCCACCGACCCCUGCACACCAGACAGCAGCCACCCCCUCUUCUGAGGCCUGGCCCCUGCCCUCCCCUAACUCUGGGGGUCCUGCAGCAACAGUCCUGGCCUUGCCCGAGGAAAGAAUCAAAAUAACUUUUUUAAAAUAAAAUUAUAGAUAUAUAGAUGUAGAUAUAAAAACAUAAAACAGAAACAACGCAA